CAGCAGCCGCGGGAAUACGGAGGGAGCUAGCGUUGUUCGGAAUUACUGGGCGUAAAGCGCACGUAGGCGGCUUUGUAAGUUAGAGGUGAAAGCCUGGAGCUCAACUCCAGAACUGCCUUUAAGACUGCAUCGCUUGAAUCCAGGAGAGGUGAGUGGAAUUCCGAGUGUAGAGGUGAAAUUCGUAGAUAUUCGGAAGAACACCAGUGGCGAAGGCGGCUCACUGGACUGGUAUUGACGCUGAUGCACGAAAGCUAGGGGAGCAAACAGGAUUAGAUAUCCCUGUAGUCCCUGUCUCUUAUAC
rnacentral:rRNA from 1 species